rnacentral:lncRNA from 1 species
GUCCGUGACCCCUGGAUGCCGAAGGCGUCCUUGGGGUGAUCUCGUAGUUCCUACAGGGUGGAGAUGAUGGGGUCGGUCCAUGGAUUUUCCUUCCUUUUAUUUUGCCGCAUUUCGCUCAAAGGGUUGAAGGGAGAUAGUGUAUCAAGCUGUUCGCAAGGGCCAACUUGACCUCUUCCCCAGAGAUCUCAGAUGAGGGAACCCUGGGAGAGCCGCCGACUCCAACUACCGUCCAUGUACGAUCCAUACUAU